rnacentral:rRNA from 1 species
GAUGAACGCUCGCUACAGGCUUAACACAUGCAAGUCGAGGGGAAACGACAUCGAAAGCUUGCUUUUGAUGGGCGUCGACCGGCGCACGGGUGAGUAACGCGUAUCCAACCUGCCCACCACUUGGGGAUAACCUUGCGAAAGUAAGACUAAUACCCAAUGACGUCUCUAGAAGACAUCUGAAAGAGAUUAAAGAUUUAUCGGUGAUGGAUGGGGAUGCGUCUGAUUAGCUUGUUGGCGGGGUAACGGCCCACCAAGGCGACGAUCAGUAGGGGUUCUGAGAGGAAGGUCCCCCACAUGGGAACUGAGACACGGUCCAAACUCCUACGGGAGGCAGCAGUGAGGAAGAUUGGUCAAGGGAAGAGAGUCUGAACCAGCCAAGUAGCGUGCAGGAUGACGGCCCUAUGGGUUGUAAACUGCUUUUAGAAGGGAAUAAAGUGAGUCUCGUGAGACUUUUUGCAUGUACCUGAUGAAUAAGGACCGGCUAAUUCCGUG